CAAACGGCCCUUUUCAGGGCCAACAACCUUUAGAGAGAUGAGAUAU
rfam:Daphnia magna strain Xinb3 scaffold01581, whole genome shotgun sequence.